UAGGGAAUAUUGCAAAAUGGGCGAAAGCCCGAUGCAGCAACGCCGCGUGGGCGAUGAAGGCCUUCGGGUCGUAAAGCCCUUUUUGAGGGGAUGAGGAAGGACAGUACCCUCAGAAUAAGCCUCGGCUAACUACGUGCCAGCAGCCGCGGUAAAACGUAGGAGGCGAGCGUUAUCCGGAUUUACUGGGCGUAAAGCGCGUGCAGGCGGAUUGGAGAGUUGGAUGUGAAAGCUCCCGGCUUAACUGGGAGAGGUCGUUCAAUACUUCCAGUCUUGAGUGCAGUAGAGGGAAGUAGAAUUCCGGGUGUAGUGGUGAAAUGCGUAGAUAUCCGGAGGAACACCAGUGGCGAAAGCGACUUCCUGGACUGUAACUGACGCUCAGACGCGAAAGCUAGGGUAGCAAACG
rnacentral:rRNA from 1 species